AACAGGGAUGGUUUUAAAAUUUUUAAGACAUAAUUAUGUACAAUUCAUACGAGGAACAAAAAAAUAUUUCGUACCUAAGCAUAAAUCUUAAGUAUAUGGUGUUAAUGAGGGGACAAUUUAAACAAAUGCAAAAUUUUAUGGAUCUUCAUAAAUGGAUAAAAAGUGGUGGAUGAGAAGACUUGAUUUAACCUUAACCAAGAUCCCAAUUCUUUCUCCAAAUUGGCCAAUAGAUUCUGUGGAGUUCAAUAAGAAAUCCCAGUGGUCUUCAUUGUAAAACUUGACAAACCAAUUUUAAAUUUUAAUGAAAGACCAAAGGGCCAAGGAUGCUCAAGACGUUUCUAAGAAAGAAUGAUGUGUGAGGGGAAUAUAAACUAGCACUGUAGGAAUGUAAAACUUAGUGUAAAUGCAGUGAUUGAAACAAUGACUUAGGGUUGGGGAAGGAUCUCCUGCACAAGAGAGUACAAGCCUCAGUCAAUAGAAAAAAUUUGGCUUCAUUGAUAGUGAAUAGUUUUGUUUCCAAACAGGCCAUAGAGUGAAAACUUACAUACAUCCCUGGUAAAGAACACCUGGAUGCAAAUUCAUACUGAAAACACCCUGGAGAAAUGGAACCAAACAGGCAGGAAUUUCAAGGAAGAAGAAGAAGUGGCUUAUAAACAUGAAAAGCUGUUUGGCCUUAUUUAGUCUUCAGGAAACACAUUAAAACCAUAAAUUUUUCUAGCCAUCCAAUUAACAGAAACUAUAAAACGUCAGAAAAUACCAACAUUCAGAGACAUUUUGGCAACAGUGACUACCUUCUGUUACUAUUGGUGUGACAGUUGGAUCACCACUUAGGAACAGUGUGGCCUGGUGAAAUUGCACAGUUCAUCUGAUAGCCCCUCUGCACUUCAGAACUCAUGCACAUGUGUGCCGGAGAUGUGCAGGAGCAACUCUAUCAGUGUUAACUGAGCUACACAGGGGCCAGAGAUAUGUGGUAAAGCGCUUGCCUGGUAUGCACAGGGCCCUGUGCUCCAUCCCCAGCACCACAAAAGAAGGAAGGGAAGGAAGAAUCCAGUGCCCACCUGCCAUACAGUGGGUAAAGAGGUCUCUGUGCAGUGGAGCUCUGUGGAGCAGGAUGGGCAUCAGACAGCUGUAAGGGAAGCAAGCCCAAGGAGAACCAGCAUGGGCACCUUUAUACAAAUGUUCAAAAUCAGAAAACAGAAUUAUCACUAAGGGACUCAUUCACAAAUAGUAAAUUUACUAAGAAAAUGACUAACAUCAUUCAGAAUCAUGAUUUCCUUAGGGGAAGGGGCGGUAGAGGGAAUGAGUUCAGAGAGGAGCCCAGAAGCUCAUGAGAACUUGAUAAUAACCUUUUGACCCUAUUAGCAUGUCAGUUCCCCUUGAGUUACUGUAUAAAUUCAGUACAAAACCAAACCAAAGACUACUUUUAAAUAUAAUUUAAAAAUUUACUAGAAGUAUAAACAUGAAAAUAGGAAACUCUUCCUUGAAAGAAGAAAAAAAUAGAAGGAACUUGCUGAACCAAACAUCCCAUUCUUUAAAAGCGCAAUUAAAAUGGCUACACUGGUAUAAAUAGCAAGUUAAUGGAAAACAGUUUUAAAAAUAGAAAUGAACUCAAUUACUUUUAAGUAUUUAGAGUACAUUAAAGAUAUCUUUUAAAAAUCAUUCUGACCAUGGUGAUUCAAUGAAAGGUGCUGGUACUGCUGGAGAAAAUUAAGUUUAAAAGCAUUAUAAAAAAUAGAAAACAAUACAGUUCUUUGUUGGGGUUAGAGAAGUUUGUUCUAAGAACUCAAACAAUGGCCUGAGACCCAACCCUGUGCACAGUCACCUGCCUUUGAAAUCCAUGGAGCACUCGCCCCAACAUGCAUGUGUGUGUGUGUGUGUGUGUGUGUGUGUAUACUGGCCACAUGUGUGUUUAAAAUUCAUGCUUAAAUUGGAAUAUAUGCU
rnacentral:lncRNA from 1 species